GCAAUGGGCGAAAGCCUGACGGAGCAACGCCGCGUGAAUGAAGAAGUCCUUCGGGAUGUAAAGUUCUUUCAGCAGGGACGAGUCGAAGACGGUACCUGCAGAAGAAGCAUCGGCUAACUACGUGCCAGCAGCCGCGGUAAUACGUAGGAUGCAAGCGUUGUCCGGAAUUAUUGGGCGUAAAGCGUACGUAGGCGGUUCGUUAAGUCAGGGGUUAAAGACUGAGGCUCAACCUCAGGAGUGCCCUUGAUACUGGCGGGCUUGAGGACGGCAGAGGAAAGUGGAAUUCCCAGUGUAGCGGUGAAAUGCGUAGAUAUUGGGAGGAACACCAGUGGCGAAAGCGACUUUCUGGGCCGUUCCUGACGCUGAGGUACGAAAGCGUGGGGAGCAAACAGGAUUAGAUACCCUGGUAGUCCACGCCGUAAACGAUGGAUACUAGGUGUAGAGGGUAUCGACCCCCUCUGUGCCGUAGCUAACGCGUUAAGUAUCCCGCCUGGGGAGUACGGUCG
rnacentral:rRNA from 1 species